CUCCGCCAAAACCGCCCGUGGCCCGGAUCAUCUUCCCGUCCUGGCCCACGGGCUCCGGCGCCGGCACCGGGAGCAACUUGGGGUUUCUUCCCGAGCAGGCUCCGGCAUCCUCCGGACCCACCAUCUAGGGCCGGGAUACUACCAAAGGAAUCUUUCUUAUCUAGCACCACGUUUCAUCAUAUCACUUUUCUUAAAAAUUUCCAUCAUCACUCAAGGAGGGAAAAGAAGUGGAGUCAGGCGGAGAAGGGCCGUUGAAAUAAUUCCAGCACCCUGUGAUAAUGGAUUGAAAUGGGGUGAUAGCCACUGAGUGGAAAUGAAAGGCGUUUAAAGAAAUCGCAAGUCGUGAUAACUGAUAUAAGGAGCGACUGAAGAGGGAGGAACCAGCAAUUACUACAAAACUCUUGUUAUUGAAACUAAUGUAGUUUGAAGAAAUGGGAUCUGGAUUAGAAAAAAAAAACCUCGAUUAAUAGGGGAAAUAUAUCUGGUAAAGACAAGACUGGGACUAUCCAGGAUAUAGUUAGAGAUCUAAAACUUGGGUUAGGGCUUAGGUUUGGAGACUCGGAUUGAAAAGUCAUCUGCAUAUUGUAACAAGAUUUUAUUUAUUUGAGACAGAGAGCAGGAGCGAGAGAGUGGAAGCAGAAGCAGAGAGAGAGGAAGAAGCAGGGGUCAAUCCCAGAACAUUAUGACCUGAGCCGAAGGCAAUCGCUUAACCAACUGAGCCACUCAGGUGCCCCUUUCAAACUUUUCUAACUUGUUGACUUACUCCUUUCUAGGUAUUGCUCUAUUUCUGCCUCUAUGAAAUCAUACUACAGUAUUUUAAACUCCAAUUUCUCUAAAUGGUUUAUUGAGUUCAUCUCCUUCCUCUCCCCUUGUCAAUGGCAACAAAAGUUUUAUGAAUAAUAGCCCAUAGCUACUGUUUUCUCAGUGAAGACUUCAAAACUGAAACACAUUUAUAUUUUGUACUUUGUCUACAAUAAUAUGUAUUCCAUAAUAAAUUAUUUUAGGCAUUCUUCUUGGUUAGUCGUUAUAUUUUCCACUUUUAACAGUAAAAGUUUCUG